ACACGAAGUCACUAUCAUUUAUGUGUUAUUCCAUAUUUACCCCCAUUCAAAAUGAAAGUUAGUCACGGCGAAAUGUUCAUUCUGUUCGAUAGGGCUGUUUACAAAUAAAUUCAAACCGAUUAAUCCGGCCCGAUCCAAUUCGAUUUAGCCGAUUUUUCUUCACCAUCGGCCGGUUUAGGGUUAAAAAGAUGAAUAAAUCGAAUCAAACCAAACCAUCAUUUGCAACUUUGCAUUAGGAAUAUCUCUCCAUAAGGAUCAAGGCUGUAAAGGCUGUUCUAAUAGGCUUUGCCACGGAAUUUGAACUCUCUCUAUACGCACACCAUUCGCGCAAAAGAAGGACGCACCACGCAUCCUUAACUUCAUAUGACCUCUUGAAGUGUGCAGGCUAUUGGAAACGGUGUCUCCUAACAACGUUGUUACAUUAUUUCGAAAAUGUCACGAGUUUUCAACACUUCCCACUCCUCUCUUGCUCGUAGGGUUGUCUCCUCUCUCUCUCCCUUCCAACCGGUGGCGACCAACAACCAUCACCGGUGACUGGUGGUCAACCUCAGCAGGGGAGCUAACUGCUAUGGCCCGAUGGUAUUUCUGCAAUAUUGGCAAUGAGAGAAAUGAUAUCAACAUAUCUACCCUUUUUCCAUUUCAUUUCAUCUAAUCCUAUAGACCAAGUGUGGCGGAAGAAGGGUUGAGUCUCUCUCUCUAUACCUGUUUUCUUAACAAGUUGCAUGACGAUUGAAGGGCUGAUGGUGGAAGGGAUACCUUAUAGUUUAUUUUCUUCUUUGUCUCCUUUUUUGUAUUUUUAGUUAGAAUUGAGACUGUAAAUCAAAGAUUCAAAGUUAAAGGGUAUAUUAGGUUUUAGAGCUCUUACUCAGUUCAAUCAAGUCUUAUUAACAAUAUCUGCUCCACAUCUACUUCACGAUGAUCAUUUCUCUGGCCUUUCUUCUAUAGGAUGAAAGAGUGAAUAGUAUAAACUUGAGGGUGGUGGUUGUGGAAGAGUCACUUACAGGGAAGAGGUUAGCUCAGAGACGGAUGCUUGGAGAAUGACAGUGGUUAGAAUUUCAGUAUUUGGGACAAUCCUAUUUAAAUUGGGGGAUACCGAAAGUUCCAAUAAUCGUAGUGGCAACGAAAACCAAGGGAGAUAGAUACACAUAAAAAUUAGGAUUGUCUUCAGUGAUUGGGAAUGUAUUAAUUAAGUCCCUUUUUUAUUUUUCA